rnacentral:rRNA from 1 species
GAUGAACGCUGGCGGCGUGCCUAAUACAUGCAAGUCGAGCGAACAGACGAGGAGCUUGCUCCUCUGACGUUAGCGGCGGACGGGUGAGUAACACGUGGAUAACCUACCUAUAAGACUGGGAUAACUUCGGGAAACCGGAGCUAAUACCGGAUAAUAUAUUGAACCGCAUGGUUCAAUAGUGUAAGACGGUUUUACUGUCACUUAUAGAUGGAUCCGCGCCGCAUUAGCUAGUUGGUAAGGUAACGGCUUACCAAGGCAACGAUGCGUAGCCGACCUGAGAGGGUGAUCGGCCACACUGGAACUGAGACACGGUCCAGACUCCUACGGGAGGCAGCAGUAGGGAAUCUUCCGCAAUGGGCGAAAGCCUGACGGAGCAACGCCGCGUGAGUGAUGAAGGUCUUCGGAUCGUAAAACUCUGUUAUUAGGGAAGAACAAAUGUGUAAGUAACUAUGCACGUCUUGACGGUACCUAAUCAGAAAGCCACGGCUAACUACGUG